rnacentral:rRNA from 1 species
CCUACGGGGGGCUGCAGUAGGGAAUAUUGCACAAUGGAGGAAACUCUGAUGCAGCGACGCCGCGUGAGUGAUGAAGGCCUUCGGGUUGUAAAGCUCUGUUCUCAGGGAAAAAGCAAGUGAUUGUACCUGAGGAGAAAGGACCGGCUAACUUCGUGCCAGCAGCCGCGGUAAGACGAGGGGUCCAAGCGUUGUUCGGAAUUAUUGGGCGUAAAGCGGGUGUAGGUGGAUCUAUAGGUCAGGAGUGAAAGCCCCGAGCUUAACUUGGGAAGUGCUUUUGAUACUGUAGAUCUUGAAUGUGGGAGAGGAUCGUGGAAUUCCAGGUGUAGUGGUGAAAUACGUAGAUAUCUGGAGGAACACCGGUGGCGAAGGCGGCGAUCUGGCCCAACAUUGACACUGAGACCCGAAAGUGCGGGGAUCAAACAGGAUUAGAUACCCCGGUAGUC